AGAGUUUGAUCCUGGCUCAGAUUGAACGCUGGCGGCAGGCUUAACACAUGCAAGUCGAACGGUAGCAGGAAGAAAGCUUGCUUUCUUUGCUGACGAGUGGCGGACGGGUGAGUAACGCUUGGGAAUCUGGCUUAUGGAGGGGGAUAACUGUGGGAAACUGCAGCUAAUACCGCGUAUUCUCUGAGGAGGAAAGGGUGGGACCUUAGGGCCACCUGCCAUAAGAUGAGCCCAAGUGGGAUUAGGUAGUUGGUGGGGUAAAGGCCUACCAAGCCUGCGAUCUCUAGCUGGUCUGAGAGGAUGACCAGCCACACUGGAACUGAGACACGGUCCAGACUCCUACGGGAGGCAGCAGUGGGGAAUAUUGCGCAAUGGGGGGAACCCUGACGCAGCCAUGCCGCGUGAAUGAAGAAGGCCUUCGGGUUGUAAAGUUCUUUCGGUAAUGAGGAAGGGAUGUUGUUAAAUAGAUAGCAUCAUUGACGUUAAUUACAGAAGAAGCACCGGCUAACUCCGUGCCAGCAGCCGCGGUAAUACGGAGGGUGCGAGCGUUAAUCGGAAUAACUGGGCGUAAAGGGCACGCAGGCGGACUUUUAAGUGAGAUGUGAAAUCCCCGAGCUUAACUUGGGAACUGCAUUUCAGACUGGAAGUCUAGAGUACUUUAGGGAGGGGUAGAAUUCCACGUGUAGCGGUGAAAUGCGUAGAGAUGUGGAGGAAUACCGAAGGCGAAGGCAGCCCCUUGGGAAUGUGCUGACGCUCAUGUGCGAAAGCGUGGGGAGCAAACAGGAUUAGAUACCCUGGUAGUCCACGCUGUAAACGCUGUCGAUUUGGGGAUUGGGCUAUAUGCUUGGUGCCCGAAGCUAACGUGAUAAAUCGACCGCCUGGGGGAGUACGGCCGCAAGGUUAAAACUCAAAGGAAUUGACGG
rnacentral:rRNA from 1 species